GGGGUGACUAGUGACAGAGUGAGGAAGGGGGUGACUAGUGACAGAGGGAGGGGUGACUAGGGACAGAGUGAGGGAGGUGGUGACUAGUGACUAGUGACAGUCACCACCUCCCUCACUCUGUCACUAGUCACCCCCUCCCUCACUCUGUCACUGUGUCACCCCCUCCCUCUGUCACCCCCUCCCUCACUCUGUCACUGUGUCACCCCCUCCCUCUGUCACUGGUCACCCACUCCCUCCCUCACUCUGUCACCAGUCAUCCCC